rnacentral:tRNA from 1 species
UACUCAACGGUGUAUUGAGGCACGAAAAUUUUUGGUGUUUUAGGUUUUGGAUUUCCAUUUUGGGUAG